GACGAACGCUGGCGGCGUGCUUAACACAUGCAAGUCGAACGGAAAGGCCCUGCUUUUGUGGGGUGCGCGAGUGGCGAACGGGUGAGUAACACGUGAGUAACCUGCCCUUGACUUUGGGAUAACUUCAGGAAACUGGGGCUAAUACCGGAUAGGAGCUCCUGCUGCAUGGUGGGGGUUGGAAAGUUUCGGUGGUUGGGGAUGGACUCGCGGCUUAUCAGCUUGUUGGAUGGGUAGUGGCUUACCAAGGCUUUGCAGGGUAGCCGGCCUGGGCGGGGGACCGGCCACAGUGGGCCUGGGCUGCGGCCCAGCCUCCUCCGGGAGGCAGCAGUGGGGAAGAUUGCACAAUGGGCUGAACCCUGAUGCAGCAACGCCGCGUGCGGGAUGACGUCCUUCGGGUUGUAUUCCGCUUUCGCCUGUGACGAAGCGUGAGUGACGGUAAUGGGUAAAGAAGCACCGGCUAACUACGUG
rnacentral:rRNA from 1 species